rnacentral:snoRNA from 1 species
AAACUCUCCAGUUUCCUUAUCUAAACCCUGGUAUGAGUGCUUACAAAAAAGGUCAAAGUAAAAUUGAAACUGACUUCAAUGUUUUGUGACAAAUGAGCUAGUUUCAAUCAAUA